CUCGGCGCCCACAAGGACGGCUUUCCCACCACAGAUGUAAGGCUCAAUGGUCUAUAAUUAUCUGGACUAUCCCUACUACCCUUUUUGAACAAGGGGACAACAUUCGCCUCCCUCCAAUACUCCGGUACAAUUCCCGUGGACAAUGGGGACAUAAUGAUCUUCGCCAGAGGCUCAGCAAUCUAUUUCCUUGCCUCGGAUGCAGAACUGGGAAGCGCAGAUGGAGUUCAACACAGAUGAAGAGGUUCAUUUCUGCAGGUCAAAUUUGAACACAGAAUAUAAUAUUAAUGGGACAUUACUCCUGACAUUGGUCCCAAGACCCAGCCUGUUUACAGAACCGGAGCGGAACUGGAGCAGAUUCUUAGACACUUGUUUUCAUCGCAAAUCCAGAAGACAGUUUAACGUUUUUUCGUGAAUUUAUUCCCAGUGAAGGUGUGGAGAUGGGAGUUGGUCUCCGCGUUGUAAAAUGAAUCUGUCCCGGACUCGUAACUGAGAUAAACUCCCACCCUCCCGGGGUUGGGACAGG